GGGCUGCAGGUGCUGAAGAGCACUAUGUGAGAUAUAGGCUAGAGAAGCAAAGUCUGCUGGCUAGGUCAGAAGGAAGGCUGCAGAAAGAUUAUGACUGCAGGCCAGGAGACAUAGGACCAAACGAUACAGCAGGCCUAAGGUGAACACUUGUCUGGAGAGAAAGCCAUCAACAAAAGCAAGGUGUACAAAAGCUGUGAGUGCCUGGACGAAGGAAAUAGCAACCAUGAGCAUGUAGCUACUGAGGCAAACACACAGCAGAGAGAGAUACUGGUGUCUCCACUGCUGGACAACCUUCAACAGGAUCUUCUACCUUCUGCCACACCAGAAUAAUUGCAACUCUGCAAGUCAAUAGCAAACUUAUUAUGCAGCUGCCUGUCUGGAAGUGCUAACUACAAUAUCGUAGAUGAAGAGGAAAGCUAUUGAGGCCACAGUAGCACGCCCAGAAGUACCACCUGUAAAGAGAAAAAAAACCCGCCAAGAGCUUAUUUUCAUUGACUGAGAUUUCUGUGUCAGUUCUAGAGAUAACAAAUAGGACUCCACAACAUUUUACAGGAAGAAAAACACUGAGUUGAAGGGCCUUUAGAGAUGGAUUUUGUGGGAAAGUCUAUAAUUCACUGCGCCUUUUUUCUUCCUGUUAUUGUCCUUGCUUUGAACACCAAAACGAAUACACAUUGGCAUUUAUGACAGAUAUUGGGUAACAGCAAUGGCGUAAUGUGACAUGAUGUCUGUUGUAAUGAGAGCCUGAACACAGGGAGGUAGAAGUCCUUUGCAACCAAGUGUUUCUAUAGAUAUGCAUGCACUCAAGCCAGGGUUUUUUCCUUAUCUGGUAAAAGGCUGACUUUUAUGUUCAAUUCAAAGGAUGAAAUCUAAGAGGUGGAAAAUGAAGAAGCACGUUUUUAAUGUUUUUUUUUCUUACCUACUGCAUAUUUAUGUCGAAAGAAAUGUCUGAGUAUACCACAGCAAAUCCUAUACACAUUCCUGUAAAAGAAAG